ensembl:lncRNA
GGGAAAAGAAACAGUAUUUUAAAAAGUAAAAAUCUUGCAUCUAGAAGUCUGUCCUUUCCUCAGAUGUGGCUGCUGUUCAAGCACAGAGGCAUCUCUCAAGGAACUGCCAGAUAUAUCAAUGUCUCUCUACAAAUUAACAAAGUGGAGCUGUCAAUUAUUUAAAAAUGUAGAUGCAGCAAGCAGUUGGCUGUGUCUGGUAUUCCUCACAAAGAGGGGUGCCAGAAUUUCACUGGCAAAACACUUCAGCUAAGUGAUCUCAGAUGAAAAAAUGACAGCUUCUGCUAAUAAACAGUCAGGGCUAUGAGUAUAAACAUUCAUCAGUAGUCCUAGAGUGGAGGGAUCGUGGUAGUAUCUGGCUUUGCAGAGACUGUUGUGCUCUUUGCACCCUUGUGCGCAUGUAUUCCAGUCUUAAUCUGGGACAGUUACUGGAACUGGAAUGUACACAAUAAAAAGAAAGAGCAAAGGGCAUCUGCUCUUCAGAGCACAGCUCAAAUGCCUUGGCCAUUUCCUCCCAAAGUGCUAUAGCUUUGUUCCAGCAGCAGCUACAGGAAGGUUCAGCACACCCACAGCUCCCAGAGCUGGUGGAGAAGAUCAUAGGAACUAUCCCAUGUCCUUGGGUGAGCAGCAGAUGACUGGGAGAGGAGUACCAAAACCAUCACAGUGUGCUCCAUUGUGGGUUUGGUGUCUGCUGAGACGUGGUAAGCUGUAUGGACAAAUUGUGCUAACCUGUUUUCUUUUAACUAUCCUAAUCUCUUUUUUAUCCCCUUUAUACAUCUGGUUUCCAUAAGGUAACAGCUGCUGUGCAUUUCAUCAUUUAAUUAAGCACAGUGUGGGAAAAGGUUUUUCUGUUCAUGGCAUUAAAAAUGAAUUGUUCUGGGUGAUGUGUAUGUUUGGGAAUAUUUCUGUAUAACCACUAAUGAAUUAUUAAGACUGAUAUUAGUGUCAAUGUGAUUUAAAAGCUAAAACAUUGUAUCAGCAGUUUAUGUACUGCAGGCACUAACAAAUAUUUUAAAGGGUUCUACAGUCAAAAACUAUGAGGAAAGGAAGCAGCUGUGGCUAUGUUGCUGGAGGUCUAGCCUCUUUACUUGUGGGAAGCCCAUGUUAACUGGCACAAAUGACAUCCUGACAUUGCCGAAAAGGGGUCUUGGCAAUGCCAUCCCCUCAUCUCCAAAUGGCAAGCACACAGAUGUGUCACACAUCAUCUGCAAAUUGAAGGCAAGCCUGGAAGAGAUUUGAUGUUUGUAGAAGGAUUUUCUACAGCAUUUGAGGAAAGGAACCAGGAAGUGUGCACACCAGCAUGAUGUAAGAAACCUCACAAAAAGUGUCCAGUCUCUGAGAAAACACAGACUGGGGUGGCCAGUCAUAGGCUGAGAUGCAUUAGAAAGUCACUGAAGAUGUUAGCAGGGCUAAGCAGAUCUUGAAACCUCCUGCUAUACCAUGUAGGACUUUCUGAGAAUACCUGGUUCCUUGGACAUGGAGGAAAACAUAUUCCAAAGCAUAAGUUUAAGUCCACUGAAAAGUGCAAAACCAAGGGAAGACAUUUCAAUCUUUAAAAGAACAGACAAAACCAACACACCUUAUCAUAUAUGCCAGGAACACACACACCCAUGAAAAAGAAUGAGUUAAUGUUAGUGGCCAAGACAAAUCCCUGGGCUGAGAGUAGAAAUGGUGUUCCUCCCAGUUAGUUUCCAUUUACUACAGAAAAAUAUAUUCUCAUUUUAAACCAAUACUGUCAGUCCUCUGUUACAAUCAGGCAGUAUAGCCACACUGAUAGAGGGGUCUAGAGCUAAACAGACGGUAGGAUGCAGCUAAUUUUGUGAGACAUGACCCAGCUUAUUUAUUUUCAUUAAAUAUUUUGCCAUUCAUAUUUAGCCUUUGGGGCUUUAUCUUGCCCAUACAAUGCUUUACAUGCCCCAUUUUUGAUCAGGAGACACAAUUUUAGCCAGUUUGCCAUGAAGUGCAAUUUUGAAUAGGUAUCUGUUCAGCUCUGUUAUGCUCAAUCCACUGCGGAGCUGGGAAGUGCUAGUAAAUAAGACGACUCUUGAAGAAGACUGCACAGCCAUUGCCUAACCUAUAUGUAGAAGUCUCAGGACAGCAACAACAAAACCUUGCUUCCCAUACAUAUUUUUUGAAUAGAAAACUGAGAACUAGAGUUCUGUUUCAGAGUCCCUAUGUGGAGGCAUCAGUAUAUAUCAUCCUUCUAUGUGUCCUGCUUUUGUUGCUUCAGUAGAAAUAAUGCAUUAAUUAUUUGCAUGUCAUUUCUGUUGUAAAUUUUCUGGCUAAUCAAGGAUUGGCUGUUUCCCCUGUUUUUAUCCAGACCAAGACUAUUCUCAGUACUUUUGCACCUUAAGAUUUUUCUCUAUGGGAAUUGGGUUCAUGCACCUGCAAAGGAGAGCAGCACAGUAAAGUGUACAAACUGUGAGUUAAUUUUACCAGACUUAUGGGCUCUUUCCUCUACUGACAUUUAAAUAAAAAUGUUUUAUAAUCCUUACUAGAUUUCCGGUUUUAUUUGCUCACAAUCAAAGCUUUAUCUCUUUUCUCUUUUUCAGGCUUGGAAUUCCAUCCCCUUGCUUGUUUGUCUUUCAGGGUAACCUCAUCCUCACACUCCCUUGCUCUUCUCAGUGUGUUGAGAUGUGCUCUUCUUCUGCUGCCCAUUUUAUGUCCAUGGGGGUACUUAUUUGUCAUGGAGUUAUCUAGAUCAGAUCUAUGACUGUGACAGGGGGGCAGGGCUCAUGGGCCCCCCGGCUCCCCAAAAUGGGAAGGGAAAAGGGAAAGGGGUAGGGGAACAGGAGCUGGGCUCAGAGAGGGAAAAAGAACGGAGCAGUGGCAACGAUCUAAGGAGGAAAACUUAUUUUACUAUCUGUGAUAUUGGAAUGCAAGAUAACACAAUAUAAUACAAUCUAAUUGAAAGUAAGGGUAAUAAAUCAAAUAAAAUAAGAGAGAGAAAGUUUCCAAAACCAAAAGGCCUACUUGAUGAAGGCGCAUGGCUUGGAAGUGCACCCACCCCUCUGCCAGGCAGCAAGAGAGAGAGAGCAUGAGCCUGAUCACGUGACAAAUCCCAUGAUUUCUAUGACGUAUCUUCCUUCUCUGACUGUGAGGUCCUCUGGGAUACGUAGUUCUUCUCUUUUGAGAAUCAGGUAUCUGGAAAGUUGUCAAUCCACGGAACUGGAGUAUUAGCCCUUUAUUUACCCGUGCUGUCCAUGAUGUUAUGAUGUGGAAUACCAAUAGCAAAAUUACAAAACCAUGAUAUUCUGCAGAUGUUUCCCGUUCUAAGAAUGUGGUUGCUGCUUUGUGCUUUGUGCGUUUGGGCCAUUUUUGGUUCAUCUCAGCUGAUUUCACUUUUUUUUUUUUUUUUUUUUUGAGUUCUUCUGCAGUCUCAAGGCACAGAGGGACUGAGGGAAGACCCUUGGGCUGGCACUUAGCAGUCAUCCAGCAAGGAGUGUGGAGCUGAGUAAUGGCAGGAGACAGAGGCAGAGAGACAAGAAGCCACAAAUCAGGUAUUCAAGUGGUGCUUCUAGGAUGCCAGAUGUGCUUCCUCCUAGGAGGAUAGAUCCAGGAAUGCAUGGGUUUACUCCAAGGAGACCAAGACAUAUGCAGCUGCAAAAGGAUUUCAAGAUCCACUCCUGUGCACUAGAAAGGAAAUUCACCAGUCCUGGUGUUCACAUCCUCCCAGCUGCCCAGAGGCAGUGACAAGAGCAUCUGAAGCAGCAUCCACCGCUGUGUAGAGGGAGAGAUGAGUGGUGAGCAUUCAUCUGCAGGGUCCUGAUUGCUGGGUGAAAGGGACAGGCAUGCAGCUACACCAUGGUCCAGCAGACACAGCCCAGGAGUCCACAGUAAGUGAUUCUGCAGGGGCUCUAGAAACACAAGCAGCUGCUGAGGGUCCUCCAGAGGAUGAAGAAAAAUCCUGAGAUGCUGAAGGAAGCUUUGAUGCAGAGGAUCUGCUGAUGGAUGCAUUAAUACAAGUGGAAAUAAGGCCUGUUAAAUCUUGCCUGAGCAGUUUUGGUAAGUGGGUGCUCUUCCCCUUGGAACGCAUGCAGAAGCAUCCUCUCUGUGGGGAAGGGUGAUCACAAAGAAAGCCACUGUUUCUGGCACUGCUCACCAAGGUUUAUUAGUGUGUAUCCUUUGAGGGCUGUGAACAUCUGCAGAGGACUGGAACUGCACAGCUGAGCACAUGGUCUCAAACCUGAUGUUUCCACGGGCUAAACAGGACAAGCGGUGAGCAGAUACCAAAGUUUUGAGUGCCACUGUCACAUGCUUACCUGCUUUUCCAAAAGACCAUGUCUUGCAAAGUCAGGAUGGAAAAUGCAGGAGUAUUUUGGCUUCUGGAAGCAUUUUUCUCCCUUGAGAGCUUUUCACCUUAAGCUACUCAUUCAGUAACUGGAGGACUGGCAGAGGCUGCCCAGAGUACUCUGUUCUGGAUGGCCCUGCUGGGGCUGGGGUUGUGCCAGACGUGCCAGGGCACUGCUACCCUCAGCUGUUCUGUGAUGUUGUAAUGGCUAAAUCAGUUGUAAGCAACUGCUAACAUUUAACCAUUCAUGUGAAAUGAGUGUGGGUCUCCAUCCCACUACCACUGCCAGUUUACCACCUCCCAGAUGGUACCAUCAGUGCUGCUUACAGUUGGCCAACAGCUGUUGCUGAGGUUGCCUUUCUGAUCUUGGAAGAGGUCUAGGCUGCAUGAAUUUUGCACUGUCCUCCAAUUUUACAUACUCCCAAGUGCCCUGUUUUGGCUGGAAAACCUGAUGGUCUAGCCCUUCUGAUGGCAACCCUGUGUGUUACAAGGGGAGGGAGAAAAGGGUUUGCAACCACAUGAUGAGAGCUGAGGGAAUGAUGAGUGGAAAAUCAGUUUAAUUGUCAUUAUUCUUUUUUAUUUGUCUUCUUGGAAAUAAGACAAAUGCUGUCCUUUCCCCUUUUUUCUUUUGGCUAAUAUUAGGCAUAUAAUACAGGCUGAAUACAUAAUUUUAUAAAGACUCAACACUGCUUGAUUAGUGUUAUUUGGAUCACAUUUUGAGGUUAUUAUCACAAAAUGGACUGGUUUUUCUGUGUAUUAAUUUUAAUGAUGAUGUUUUCUCUUGUGUAACUUCAACUAAAGAGAAAGGCAUCCUAAUGUUACCAUCUACGGAGAAAAGAAUCGUACAAAAGUUGGCUAAUGGAACAUUUCACUCCACCUAUUAACUCAAAAAAUAGAAGUCACAUGUUUCCAUUUACAAGUAUUUUAGUGAAAAGGCAUUAAGUGAAACAUUUUGUCAUCAAACAAUGUAGCUGAGCAUGUACCUUCUCAUGGCGUGGUGGGCCUCAGAUGUUUAUCAUUUCAUAGAAUCAUAGAAUAAUUUCAGUUGGAAGGAACCCUCAAAGGUCAUCUAGCUCAACUCCCCUGCAAAGAACAGGGAUACCUACAACUAGAUCAGAUUUGCUCAGAGUCCUGUCCAGCCUGACCUUGAAUGUCUUCAGGGACCGGGCAUCCACCACCUUUCUGGGCAAUCUGCCCUAGUGCCUCACCACUAGUAUUGUAAAAAUCUUCUUCCUUAUAUCCAAUCUAAAUCUCCCUUCUUUUAGUUUGAAACCAUUUCUCCUUGUCCUGUCACAGCAGUCCCUGUUUAAAGAGUCUGUCCCCUUCCUUAUAGCCCCUUUUUGAUACAGAAAAGCCACUCUCAGAUCUCUUGGAUUCAGAUCUCUUUUCAUCCCUUGGGCCAUUUUUGUGGCCCACCUCUGGACAUGCUCCAACAGGUCCAUCUCUCUCAUGAGGAUUUCUGUACUGAGGACUGCACAUCUAGAUGCAGUACUCCAGGUGAGGCUUCACCAGCUUCAGUAGAGGCUUCAGUAGAGAGGCAGGAUCACCUCCCUCCCCCUGGUGGCCAUACUUCUUUUGAUGCAGUUCAGGAUACAGUUGGCUUACUGGGCUACAAUGGCACACUGCUGGCUCAUGUCCAUCUGGUCAUCCCCAAGUUCUUUUCAUUUUGUAUUGUUUAGAAAUACAGUGAUAUAAAUUUGGGUCAUAGAAGGGCUCUGAGUGUUUGGAAGAGUUACCUUUGGACCUGCACAGGGCUCCUAUGGUAAGAAGGACCCUGAAGGUUUGGCUCUGGGCAGCUGGGUUUCUGCUUCAUGCUGUGGUUAAUUACAACAUGUCCUCAUGUGCUCCCGGGGGUGUGCAGAGCCAGGAGCUCAGAUUUCCUCCCCAAACACCUCUUUGUGGUGCUACUGCCAGAACUCCCUGCAGCUCAAUGUUCAUUCUGAGAAAAGGCUCUGCAGCAUGAUGAAGGGCUUUGCGGAAAAUGAAUGUCAUCAUUAGUGACUCCAGGACUGCAUUUUGGCUCAGAAUUGUGCAAUUCUAUUUCAAGGUUAACAGCUAACUUAAUCUGGGUGGAUGUUUGUCCUCAGAACAGCUAGUUUCUCCUCAAAAUAAUCUCUCCAUUCUUUUCCAUCCUGAGAAACACCACUCAGGUCCCCAGGUGUGAGAGCUGACACGGAAAGGUUGUUCAACAAAUUACAUUUGGCUGAUCUGAAAUUCCAAAAUAAGGCAAAUAGUGCAGUAGGUCUGAGCAGAGGUCAGGCAUCAGCUUCCUCUAGUGCGUAUAUAAAGAGCAGCUUGUGUUCCUCACAGCCAGUGAGAAUCCUGCUCUGAGCAUGUCACAGGAGGAAUUCACAAAAUGACAGUGCUUUCCCAGGCCUUUACUCAAAUUUAACCUUUGGAAAUUUUUUUCCCUAUUUUGUUCCUCACGUCACAAUGUGAAAUUAUAAUACAACUUACACCUUAAAUAAAUAUAUGUGUAAAAUCUCAAAAAGCAGUGCAUAUGUGCAAGGUAGAUCUUUUUUGUGUUUUUGUUGUUGUUUUCCCUUGAUUCAUACCUUAAAAGGUUUCCUUUGUGAACAGCUUAGGAGUUUUAAACUGGAAGGCCAGCUUACAACCAAACUGUGAAAUAUAUGCAGCAUAGAUGUAUAUUCACCUUCAUGGCUAUUUCACAAGGUGGAGGCUGUGUCCCUUUCUGACAGCUUGGUAGAAAGCAUAUCCUUCAUGUGGAAGUUUGAUGGUGAUAGAAUUGAUGAAUGUUUCCACUGAUCCUGAAGAUGGGUUGCAGGCUCAGAUGCAAUGGGGUUAUGUUCAGUGCUAAAUUCCCAUUGGGAGGGCUGGGAAGGGUUUCUGCAGUCUCUUUCUCCAUCCCAAUCAGGAUCACCUGUACCUGGUGUGUUCUUGGUUCAUCUGGCUUUCGUCUAAACUGUCUGUUGGGCUGAAAAAAGUUUAUGGGGCAAUUUAUCGCAUGGGUAGUUACCCAUUCUAUUAAAUAGCCUGAGUCAUUGCUGUUGAAGUGACAACCCAUCUUGUUGUGUCCCACAUGAGCUUAAUCCCAUUCCUUUUGGCAGUGAGCUUUUACAGGCAGUCAUCCACCCCUCCACCUCCUCUACUUGAUUCGAUGAUUCUGUAAGACUGGAGCAUUGGAAUGGGCUGCCCAGGGAGGUGGUGGAGUCACUGUCCUUGGAGAUGUUCAAGAAAAGGAUAAGUGUGGUACUGAGGAACAUGGUUAGUGGGUAUGGUGGUGAUGAGUCAGCAGUUGGACUAGAUGAUAUUAGAGGUCCAUUACAACCUUAUUGAUUAUAUGAUUCUAUUCUAUGCUUGGGGCUUUGAACCCCUCUGAAGUUCCUGCAGGUUUCACAUGUUCUUUGUCAGUACUUAGGACUGCAGCCUCCAAACAGCCUAACCAGGGAAACAACACUGCAAAACAAAUCCCAGCUUGUCCACUGCAGGUGCAAGGCUGACACAUCCCCAUCUCUUAAUGCUAUGGACUGAGCCAAAGAAGCUCCAGGGUGCCAAUACCUAAGGAAGGUCUGCAGGUGUUGUACUGAGAUGGAAAUGCCCUGUGCAUCCAAAGGUGAGAGCCACACAUCCCACUGGUCCCCUGAAGGAAGAAGCAGUUACUCCUGAGCCUUGCAUUGUCUCCCAAGUUCUCUCUACAACGCAGAACAUUGACAUCUUUCCAAAACACAGCAGAAAAAAAUGGAUAUUAAAACAGGUAUUUUAAAAGCAAUCUUACUCUUUAUUUUUUGGUGGAGUUCUAGUUACAUGCUACUCUUAGAUGCGAUCCAUUUUCUAAUAGGUCAAAAGUCUCAUGGGAAUCAGGCAAGAAACUGUGACAAGAACUAAAAUUAUCUCUACUGCUCCCUUGCACAGAUGGUGCUUUUCUGAAGCUGAGUGGGGUGAAACUGGUGAACACUGUGGGUGCAAGCUGAGGCUAUUCUGGCAAGAACCCCUGCAGAGUUUUGCUAUAGGCAGCUUCUGAUCACAGGGGUUCACCAAGACGUUCAUCACCAUGCCAAGGGCAGUGUCUGUAGGGGGGAAAUGGAAAGAAGCUUGGAACUCUUAAAUAGUUUCAGCACAAAAAAAGCUUCUACUGACAGCUGCUGAAACACAGUCUUUCAAACACAGCGAUGAACUUGAGUGUCUAGGAUUUUAAGCUAAUUAAAAUAGAACUGGAUGGAAUUAAUAUAAACAUAGCUUCAAACCAGGCCAAGGAAAACAAAACCCCAUGCAGGCUGACCUGAUGAAGAUUGUGGAAUACAGGUGCCAUUCAAUUUUCUGGAAUAGCAUAUUAUUUUUUAUUCUGAUGUUGAUAGGAAAAUAAUUUACAGACUCUCUCAGUAGGUUAUGUUGGAUUUCAUUCCGGUGUCUCCUUUUGCAAUAAUGCUAAUGGCAAAAGAAAUGCACAUUGAUAUUGUUUUAGCUGCAGCAGAAAUGCCAGGGAACUCAGAUCUGUGCUAUCACCUCGUCAGUGGGCAAAUUACUAAAUCGGAAUUUUAUGAAAUUACUCAAUAUUUGUGCAGACAGCUUCCAGGAAAAAGCACUUGUGUCUAUUUAGCUCUAGUGUGUAACAGAUGGGUAGAGACAAGUUAUUUCUUUGUAGCCAGACUCAUACUGACAUUUUAAGACAGCUUUCCUUAGGUGCUCAUUAGUUCUUGUAAGCCAGAUAUUAAAUCUUACCUUAGAGCAAAAUUCAGUCAUAUAAAAGGCCUUCAAGCAAUGUUGUAGUGUGUUACUUGCAAGAAAAUUAAAUGUAACCCAUCCUUUCAAAAUUGUAUUUCAUUUUAGCUUACAGCAUUUAGAUGUUAGAAGUCAGUUAUUUAUCUAUUAACUUUAAGCUGUUUAGGAACUUUAAGCUGUUCAAGGAAUUGUUGACCAAGAUCUCCUAGGACGCUGUCCUUAAAGACAAAGAUGCUGAGGAAAACUGGCUACUCUUCAAGGGUGCCUUUCUGAGAUCACAAGAGCUCUCCAUCCGUCUGAAUAAGAAAGCAGGAAGACAGGGCAGGAAACCAGCAUGGCUCAGCAAGGACCUGCUGGGCAAACUGGGGGGAAGGAAAGGCACAUACAAACUUUGGAAACAAGGGUGUGUCACCUGGGAAGAAUACAGGGAUGCCAUUUGGACUUGCAGACAUGGGAUCAGGAAAGCCAAGGUGCAGGCAGAACUGAACUUGGUGAGGGAUGUGAAAAACAAUAUGAAGACAUUCUACAGGUACAUUGGCCAGAAGAGAGAGGCCAAAGAGAGUGUAUCCUUUGGUAAAUGUAAAAGGAGGGCUGGCUUCAACAGAUGGAGAGAAGGCUGAGGUACUGAAUAAGUUCUUUGCCUCAGUCUUCACUGGCAGCCAGGACUCUAAUAUUUCUCACAUCCCUGAACCCUGCAUCCCUAAACUUCUAGGUGGGGACCGGGUGAGUAAAUCCCCCCCCCCCCCACUGUAAGGACAGAGCAAGUCCGAGACCACCUCAUGAGACUGAAUGCGUACAAGUCUAUGGGGCUGGAUGGCAUGCAUGGAUGGCAGGGUUCUGAAGGAGCUGGGUGAGGUGGUUGCUGAGCUGUUCUCUAUCAUAUUUGAAAAGUUGUGGCUGUCAGGUGAGGUCCUGGAUGACUGGAGGAAGGGUUGCAUCACUCCCAUUUGUAAGAAUGGGAGCAAGGAGGACCUGGGGAACUACAGGCCGGUGAGUCUCACCUCUGUACGUGGGAAGAUCAUGGAGCAGAUCCUCCUGGACGACAUGCUUGAUUACAUGAGGAAUGAGCGUGUGAUCCGAGACAGCCAGCACGGCUUCACCAGGGGAAGGUCAUGCCUAACCAAUCUGGUGGCCUUCUAUGGUGGAGUGACGGCACUGGUAGACAAAGGGAAGGCGACUGAUGUCAUUUACCAGGACUUAAGCAAGGCUUUUGACAUGGUCCCCCACCACAUCCUUAUCUCCAAAUUGGAGGGAUGUGGAUUUGAUGGGUGGACCACCUAAUGGAUAAGGAAUAUGUUGAAAGGCCACAGACAGAGGGUGGUAAUUAAUGGUUCUAUGUCCAGGUGGAGGCCGUUAAUGAGUGGUGUCCCCCAGGGGUCUGUCUUGGGACCGGUGCUCUUUAACAUCUUCAAGAAUGACAUCGAUAAUGGAAUUGAGUGCACCCUCAGCAAGUUUGCUGAUGAUACCAAGCUGAGUGGUGUUGUCACUGUGGAAUGAAGGGAAGCCAUUCAGAGGGACCUCAACAGACUUGAAAGGUGGGCCCAGGUGAAUCUAAUGAGUUUCAACACAGCAAAGUGCAAGGUUUUUGCACUUGGGCCGGAGGAAUCCCAGGCAUAUAUACAGACUGGAAGGAGCAGUCCUUGCGAGUAGCCCUGCAGAGAAGGACGUGGGAGUCCUGGUGGAUGAAAAACUUAACAUGAGCCAGCAGGGUGCUCUUGCAGCUUGGAAAGCAAGUGGUAUCCAGGGCUCCAUCAGUGGAGGGGUGGCCAGCAGGCACAGGGAGGUGACAGGACAGCAGCCCUCUCUACUCUGCCCUUGUGAGGCCCCAUCUGGAGUACUGUGUCCAGGUUUGGAGUCCCCAGUACAAGAAAGCUGUUGGAGAUGGUCCAGAGGAGGGCCACAAAGAUGAUCAGAGGGCUGGAGCACCUCCCCUAUGAAGACAGACUGAGGGAGCUGGGCUUGUUCAGCCUGGAGAAAAGAAGGCUGCAGGGUGACCUAAUUGCAGCCUUUCAGUACCUAAUGGGAGCCUAUAAACAGGAGGGGAGUCAACUCUUUGAAAGGGUAGAUAACAGCAGGACAAGGUGAAAUGGUUUUAAGUUGAAACAGAGAAGAUUUAGGUUGGAUGUCAGGAGGAAGUUCUUUACUAUGAGUGUGGUAAGGUCUGGAACAGGCUGCCCAGAGAUGAUGUGGAUGCCCCGUCCCUGGAGGUGUUCAAGGCCAGGUUGGAUGGGGCCCUGGGCAGCCUGUUCUAGUAUUAAAUGUGGAAGUUGGAAGCCCUGCCUGUGGUGGGAGAUGUUGGAGAUUCAUGAUCCUUGAGGUCCUUUCCAACCCAGGCCAUUCUGUGAUUCUGUGAUAUUCUUCUACUGCAAUUCUUCCACAAAUCGUGGGUCAGAGCACUCUGACAGUUAUCACUGACAAAUAGGACAUCUUCUCUUCUUAUUGCUACUCCGAAGAGCAGCCUUGGGAUGGACCAACAAAGAGGAAGCAGGACAGAGUCCCUCAGGCUGAGCCUUCAAGUCAGAUUGCAAGUGAUGGAUGGCUGACAGAUGAAGCUGCAAGAGAGACUUUUCCCUGUGGGGCCACCAACAGCACAGGCAGACCCUGCAUCUUCUCCAGCCUCCAUCUACAGCUGUGUUCCACCAAAGCUGUCCAGGUCGGAACUUCUCCCUCCAUGGCAAUGCAGGUAAAGGUGGGAGAAUUCCACAACUCUCCAAACCACCCCACCACUCUGGUCUACAGCCACAUUGCACAGAGAAGUAAGGUAGGUGCUGGGAUCUAAAUAGCAUUUUCUCUUUGUGAUGCCAACCAUUUCCACUCACUUCAAGAUCUUCUCAGGCUUGGAAAUGUGUGGCUCUGUACGUGUUCCUUUCCCAUCCUUUCCAGGCCAAAAUUCCUGAUUAGCAGUGAUUGCUUACAUGAGAGUUCUAGCUUUUUAGUGGUAAAAUGCAAUUAUCUGUUGUUUCACACUUGUUUCUGAAAUGUUGUGAGCACGAGGGAAAAAAAGAGGACAACCCACUUCAGAAAUUAAUGGCAGUCAGCUAAUGUAAAUACAAUUUCCCAGCAUAUCCCUAAGCACUGCAUAUCAGACAUCAGUGAUUUCAGAUGAGUCCUUAAUCUGAAUUCAUCUUUGUUGGGGUUGGUAUGUUAACCAUACACUCUGUUGACUUUUAAUGUGUGAGAAUAACAUUUCUAGAGGUAUAUUCCACGUUCUGAUAUCAUCCUGAAAGCAAUUAUAUAGUGACUUAAACAUUCACUUAAAAGUCCUAGCUUCGUGAUAAAGAGUUUCUUGUUGGAAAAUGUUUAUGAAGUGACUCAGUACAAUUUACUAUCCAUGGAUGAACUACUUCUAACCCCCCCAGCAGCUUGCAUUUCUCACUACCACUGCACCCAACACAGCUGAGACGUUAAUGAGUGAUGAACAGCUUCUCUGUAACAUCAGUUCUGCCCCUUCUGAGUUAUGCUUUCCUUGUGGGGAGAGGUGCACCAAAGUGCUUUUGAAGUGUUGCUGCAACCUUGCAGUAGGGGAGAAUGGUUUUGAAAGCUGGUGUCACGAGUGCAGCGACUUGAUGCUGGACUCAGAUGUGAACGAUCCAAAUCGUUUAUUACAAGUUCUCACCUCGCUUAUAUACCUUCACAAGUUUUCUAGCUUUAUCAUCCACCCCUACAACUUUCCCAUCCACCUUUACAUGUCAACAGAGCAUUCUACACUCUUCAACCAUUCAUGUGGGUGCUUAUCCAAUCAGAGCCGUGAGCUAUUCUUUCUUCUUCUAGAGGUGUCCUUGGUUCUCAUGAUGUUUAUCUUGCUCCACAGCUGCUGCUUCUGAACAGUUUUUCUUGUAUUCCCACAAACAAGCAUGGUGUAGUGCACCAGACAUGUCUGUGCAAUAAAUAAAUAAAUAAAUAAACCCAGCCCAAAUAUUUAGUUUUGUUUUAUGAAAGGAUUGUGAAAGAGGAGCUCUUCUGAUCAGCAGAUAGUUUCACACACAUUUCUCAUCAGCCACAGUGGAAUGCUCAAAAUAGGAUCAAUUUUGGUGAUGUCUCACACCAGAAAAAUUCUUGCAGAAUCCUCUCACUGUUUUACCAUCAUUCUAGCCAGAUUAAACAAACCAAAUCCUCAUGGGGGUUCAACAAGCACAUUUACCCACCAGAGUCCAUGCAGGGUACCUCUCUUCUCUAAGGAGAAGGUCGAUUCUAAAAGAGAGAAGAUCCUCCAGUGGCAUCUGCUUCAUCUCCCUUCUACCCCCCUCUGUGUAUGGAAAAGAAACACAGAAUCAGCUGAAGACUGGAGGGCUCAAAUUUUAUACACAUCUCUCCAAAAUGGAGAACAAUUUCAGUGUGGGUAUUUGAGGUCAUCUUGUGUAAUUUUCUACUUGGAUAGUAUAUAAGUAUGCAUAACACUCUGCAGCUAAGCCCCCUAAGAUUGCUUUGGUCUUGAUGACCUAAGGAUGUAACUGAGACAAGAUCUGCAAGAAUGCACUUCUCUAUAAAAUAGCUUAUUCUCUCCUCACAAAUACUGCCACCUCUGUAGAAAUGUUACUAACCUCUGCUGAGCUCCAGUGAGUACUCCUGCAGAAGUACUUCCUGCCUUCUCCCUCUGACCCAGGCAGCAGGCAAGAUUCAGAAAAUGGGCUUGGUUUUAAUUUAAUUUGAUGAGAAGGAACCUUCUGUUAUGGAUAUAGCAAUAGCAGCACAAACUGUACUGUGAGCACAUCACUAUUUUCCUUUGCUUAGGGAGCUGGAUUCUGCUUUUUUUUUUUUUUUUUUUUUUUCCCAUGAAUCUAAUCUGGAUUUGUCUUUUAAAACAGCAUAUUUCUGUCACCUGUCUCUCUUCUUUUAAUAGCCUAUCUUCGAAAGAGUGUCUGCACACACAGGAAAAAUCACUAUGCAUUUAACAUAAAUGGGACUGCAUACUACACAAACUGCUGAUACAUUUCCAGACAUAGACUGAAAAAAAAUUUAUGAUACCCCUUACACAGCUCCAUACAAAUAUUUAUGCAUAGCCUGUAUUUUACAAACCCUUAUCCUUGUGCUGCAGGUCCUUCCAAGCCACGUGAAGUUAAUGUGGUGUCAGACAUGUCUGUGCUCAGGGCAUAAGAAGCCUUUGUGGACUCGUCUCCAGGAGGAGCAGCCCUACCCCAUGGGGUCUGCCUGCCAUGAAGCCUCCCUGUUUUCUCUGCAAUAAUUGUAACUGGACCCUUUUCUAUGUGAGCUGCUUAUCUUCCAUCUGAGGCCCAUUAGGCAGCAUACACAGAGAAUGUGUGAAGUCGGUGCUUGGCCGCCUUACUGCUUCUCGUUUUGGUGUGUGUAGAUGAGGCGAAGGCAGUUUCUGAAUUUCUGCCCCUCAGUGGGCUACAGAAGGGGAGCAGUGAGUCCCUGGGCUACUCCUGCACUGGCAACGUUUAGCAAGGGUCAGUGCCAAUUUGUGGUCAUGCCUUCGUGUCCUGUGCUUGUUGGGUUUUAUUAAUCAGCACUUUGAAAAGGCAGCAGUGGGGUUAUAGAACAUUACUGAAUUCUCGUGGAGGUAUUCAUUUAUCAUUGGCAAGCUUGAUGUUUCACAUAACUGUUACUUCAUCAUAUUCUGUGGUUGGACUUGAUGAUCUUUAAGGUCUUUUCCAACCUGAGCUAUUCUAUGAUUCUAUUAUUCUAUAUAGCAUUUAGUUAAAUGUGUUUUAAAAACCAGCCAUGGAUCCCAUGUUACCAGUGGUAUAAUAUAGAUCCAUGCCUGUCCAAGCAAGCAGCCCACUGCGUGAGUCCAGUGACGAGACAUUUAUGUGCACAGGGUACCUGCUGGGCCAAAGCCAGCAUUUAGGUGCCACUUUCCACCAAGUCUAGGGAAUUUCUCAGUUGCCCUUUUCAGCAAUGUUUUUACAGUCUUUUGUAUGGUAGCAACAGCAUUAAAGGGUUGCUAAGUGCGGGGGGAGGAGAACAGAAGGGUGGAAGUGACUACUUGCAGCUCUCCAUGCCUCUUCCUGGGAUCCAGAGGAACCAGCAGUGCUGCUCACAUUCACACAUGUGCCACCACACGUCUACAACCACACAUCCUCAAGUUAAGGACAGACACUGAAUUCCUUUCCAGUUCAAGCACUGUCAGGUAAAAAAUUGAGCUUUAUGUAUUUGAAUCAUGGACUCAUUUAGGUUGGAAAAGGACUACUAAAAGUCCACCACUAAACCAUGGUCCUAAGCACAACAUUCAUACUUGUCUUAAAUAUCUCCAAGGAUAGGGACUUCCCUGUGCCGCCUUUCUCAAUGCAUAACCACAUUGUGCAGAAAGGAAGAUCCUUCCUUUUUCCUAAAGAAGUUCUCUUGCCCCAGGAUUUCAUCCCAGCACUUGGCUCUUGUGGAGACAGCAGGAAAUGUUCACCGCAUUCUUUAAGGGGGAAACUGAUGACAGUGUUAUUCUCUGUGCACCACAACUCAUGUUUCUGGGUACUGCUAUUCUCAAAACUCUUCAUGCCAGUAAGAGCAUAGGAGCAUGUUUUAUUUCCUUGAUGAGCAAAUGCAACCCUUUGAGCUGGGAAUCUCAAAGGUAGCUCCACAAGAACAAGGCCUUGCUGAAUACUAAUGAAGUAUUUGCCAAAGUACAUGCAAUCCAUGAGCUGUGAUUUACCACUGGUCACUUUGAGAUAGUUUAUAACGAGAUAAAUGAGAAAAAUAAUGUCUCCUUUAAUAAGGUAUAGUGCAGAAAACUAUUUAAGCUGAAAAGAGAUUGGGUUUGCUGAUUGUGUACUGCAUGCAGCCUCUUGAAAACUGGGCUUUCUGUCCCGCAGGGCAUUCCAAUGCAACACUUGGUUUCAUCUGUAAUUACAAUGAACUUUCUAAAUGUCCAUUUCCCACAGAGUCGAAAAAUUUGAAGAAAAACAUGAUUAAAAAAUGGUCAGGAAUGACCUAUGACAUUGUCACUGUCUGGCCCUGCUAUGGCUUCACGUGUAAAUUCGGUUGCACAUGUGGUCACUAUCUCUAUUGCAGGACCCACAGUAAGCAGGUAAAUGCUGUCAACUGCCACAUCUAUAUCAAACUGUGUUUUUGGACAAGUACUGGAGGGCACGACAUCUGAGGUUCAUUUGCUAUGCUCCCUUUUCAGCCACAAAGUGAUUGAUGACUUUAGUGUUUACCUUUAUACAGUGAGGAGUAGGAGUUAUGUUGGCUAUACUGUUACUUCGCAGUCUUAAUGGAACCAUACUCACAAUUAAUAAGGAAUAACUACCUUGCACUUUGGUCACAGACUGAAAUGGGAGAUUUUGGUAGCAGCAACCAAAGAAAAUGUUGGCAGUGAAUGCUGCCUUUGGACUACUUCUGCCCAAUCCAGGCUACUGUGAAUAGAUUUUUUCAAUAGCUAGAGCAUUAAAAUAUUCAAAGCAAUGGCAAUAUAUUUUAUUAAAAACAGUGCAUUGCUUGGUAGGGCAGAAGGAAAUAAUGGCUCAGGGGUCUGGGAAUGGAAGAUGGAACCAUUUACAUCUAAGUCACCCUUUCACAUCUAGCCAAGGUCAGCAGUAAACAAGAAUUGUAUCGUUACCAGCUGGUGGCCCACAGAAUGAGAAAUAAAUUGAUAGUGUGAGUCCAGUUUCCAUGAAAUGAGGCAAAUACUGCAAAACCAGAACCAGAAGUGGAACUAACUGACACUGCUGCUGGCCCUACCUGGGUGCUGAGGAUAGAGUGGUGGAAACCUGACCAUGUCCCAGUAAGACAGGUGGUCCCAACAGGACUGUGGCAGAGGAACAUGCACGGUCCCUUUGCUGCCUGGUGGGCAAGGCAUCCUGCAUCCUGCAGACCCCAGGCUGCGACAUGGAGGGCCGCUUGCCUCCACCUCCCCUGGGCAUUGCACAUACCCAGACACCCAUGUCUGGCUGAUACUCAUGUUGUACAAGCAACAGCUUCUUAGUCCACCUUCCUUUAGUUAGAUGUCCUAUUGAAAUGAGAAAGCUUUAAAGUAUGAUGUGUGAGCUUGGGCUGAGGUAGCAGAUGAUGUUUAUUAUUAUUUUUAUUGGCUUCUUCUGGAUUUUCUGAUGUGAUUAAUUUAUCUAGCCAUAAUAUUUUAAAAGCACAAUCAAAUUUCAUUUUAAUUUGAAGCCAAAAUGCUCAGACUCAUAAUAUUUGAAGCUCAAAAAAUGAUGACUCUUUUUUAAAAUACCACAAGGGAUAUAUCAAUUGAGCUUAAUUACAUCAAAGAACAAUCCCAUAAGAGAGAGGGGAAAAAAAAAAAAAAAAAAGAAGAAGGAUCUGCCAGAAAUAAAAAGGCUGCAUGGGUCAGUGGUCUCUUGAUUGUAAGGUAUGUGUUACAAUACACAUGUGUAUGUAAACAUAUACAUGCUUGUACAUAAUCAUAUAUAAACCAGCAUACUUUAACACUUAGCUCCACAAAAUGAUCUUUUCAUAGGUAUUAGGAGAGCAUGAGGUGCUCUACAAAAGGAAUUGUGCUUGCUUGUUUUUACUUUUCUCAUAUGACAGGCCAAAUAUUGCCUUUCCUGAUGCUAAUAUCUGGAAAUCUGUUACACAAGUACGCUAGGGGGAAAAAAUUAAUAAAUGGGACUCAUUAAAGGUAUUGCCAGAGAAAACUUACUAGAUUUGGCCAGGACACUGAUUUAAUCAACAUUUUUUCUUAUUGAAAGCAAAUGUUCAAGUGUGGUGAAUUUGAAGUGGCUAACUGAGGAGUUUCAGAGCGGAAAAUAGAUCUGCAUAAACCUGCAUAUAUACACUAAAUCCUAAAUGGAAGAUAGCUCUGUCUGCAUAUUCUGGAGAAGAUCCUGGAGAAAGUAGAAAUAAGGAAAAAAGACAGAAUUAAAUGUUGAUGCCUCCAGAACGAUGCUCUCUGAAGAAUCAUAGAAUUGUUGAUGUUGGAAAAGGCCUCUGAGGUUGUCUAGUGCAACCAUCCACCUACGACUAAUAUUGUCCACUAAACCCUGUCCCUAAGUGAUGCAUCUACCCUUUCCUUACACACCUCUAGGGACGGUGACUCCAGCACUUUCCUGGGCAGCCUAUCCCAGUGCACUGCCACUCUUUCUGAGAAGAAAUUCUUACUAAUACCCAACCUGAAUGAAACAGCAGCUUCACCUUUUUGUUUUAUGGGCAGUUCUAUGGAAGUCUGGCUAAAUAGCAUGGAUGAAGCACCUUCUUCUAAUGCAUCAGUGCAGAAUGAAGUGAACACAGGUAGCCCAGUACAAGGCAGAGCUAAAUGAAUUCCUUGCCUCUCUGUGAGUGCAAUCUGCACCUUGAGUCAGCUGUGCCACCCUGUUACAAAGACUUUGUUGUAGUACAGGAGUCUUAAAAAUAGCCUUCACCUCCUGAACCCCCUUCUAGAAAUGCUCCUCCACUCAGCCACAAGCUGAAGCUAAUUUUCACACAUCUGCUGUAAUUUAAACCAUCUGUGUGGCUGCAAGUUAAGGACAGAGAAUUUGUGGCCCAUAUUCUUCCCAUCUGACACUGGGAAGCUUUUGUGUGCAUUGUCCAUAUGCCUGCAUUAGCUCUAUGGGUUUGGGUCCAGAUAGCCACACUAUUUCUCUUUCAAAAACACUGUUUUUUAAGAAUCCCUCAGUGAGGAAUACUCAUUACCAAGGUGCUUAGGAAGGAGCAAGUGGUGCCAAGCUGGCUCUAGCAGGGUUGCUGGCUACUGUGCACAAUUAGUUGUUAGGCACUGAAGAGCCCUGUCGCAGCUCUUGAUUACCUAGUGUGUUUUGAAAAAUCUCCUCAGCUCAUACCAGCUUUCACUCACUGUAGGUAAUUAAGUUAGAAAAAUAAACACAAGCAGGGCUGCUCUGGCUGCAAGGACUGCUGUGCUCAAUAUAAGCCCUCAGCUGCACAGAGCCAGAGGGAGCUGCUAACAGCACUGACAGCUCAGGGAAGUGAUUUAUGAAGCUUUUCUUUUGCGAAAAGUUGGCAUCUAGACAAUCUGUGCCCCUCCCGCUGCCUGCGUGCUCUUCUGGCAUGUGUAAAGCCCAAGCAUAUUCCAUAAACAGACCAUUAAGCCCAGAAACUCUUCUUAAAACAUAUGAUUAGAAACCAAAACAGCUCAAUCCACAUCCAUGUGAUAUUUGUAUGAAGGAUUACAAAAUGGCAGCAGAAUGACAAGACAUACCAUACUGCCCAGUACCAGAGUAACCAUUUGUCUACUGGGAUAAAAACCAGCGCUGAAGUUCUCCAGUGCUGAAUGUGUAUUGCUGAGCUGAAUGUGUAUUGCUGAUCUUGAGAAAUGUUCUCCUUUAUUGCAGCGUACUCUGCUCCCACUGCUGGUUUAAUCCCAAGGAGCUCCUGCUUUUGAUCUCCAUGUGCAUCUGUGGGCAUAGACUGAGUGCCCAGAUAACUCUGGGAAUGUGGGGAAAGAUGUCCCAUCAGACAGGGCCACACCAACAGAGCCUCACAGGCCCAGGCCUUGACAAAGAACACUGCACAAGCAUGUUUGUGAUGCUUCAAAGAGACAUAGAAUCAUAGAAUGGCCUGGGUUGAAAGGGAUCACAAUGAUCAUGUAGUUUCAACACCCCUGCUAUGUCCAGGGUCACCAACCACUAGACCAGGCUGCCCAGAGACACAUCCAGUCCGGCCUUUAAUGCCUCCAGGGAUGGGGCAUCCACAACCUCCUUGGGCAACCUGUUCCAGUGUGUCACCACCCUCUGAGUGAAAAACUUCCUCCUAAUAUCUAACCUAAACCUCCCCUGUCUCAGUUUAAAAUCAUUCCCCCUUGUCCUGUCACUAUCCACCCACGUAAACAGUCAUUCCCCCUCCUGUUUAUACGCUCCCUUCAAGUAUUGGAAGGCCACAAUGAGGUCUCCCUGGAACCUUCUUUUCUCUAAGCUAAACAAGCCCAGUUCCCUCAACCUUUCUUCAUAGAAGAGGUGCUCCAGCCCUCUAAUCAUCUUAGUGGCCCUCCUCUGGACCCACUCCAAGAGUUCCACAUCCUUCCUGUACUGGGGGCUCCAGGCCUGGACACAGUACUCCAGAUGGGGCCUCACAAGAGCUGAGUAGAGGGGCACAAUCACCUCCCUCCCCCUGCUGGCCACUCCUUUUUUAGUGCAGCCCAGGAUAUAGUUGGCCUUUCAGGCUGCAACCGCACAUUGCUGGCUCAAGUGUAGCUUCUCGUCCAUCAGGACCCCCAAGUCCUUCUCUGCAGGGCUGCUCUCAAGGAGAUCUUCCCCCAGUCUGUAUAAAUACCUGGGAUUGCCCCGACCCAAGUGCAGAACUUUGGCCUUAUUGAACCUCAUUAGGUUCUGAUGGGCCCACUUUUCCAGCCUGUCCAGGUUCCUCUGGAUGUUCCCUUCCUUCCAAUGUAUCGACUGCUCCACUCAGCUUGGUGUCACCUGCAAACUUGCUGAGGGUGCACUCAAUAUCAUCAUCUGUGUCAUUGAUGAAGGUGUUGAAGAGCACCGGUCACAAGACUGACCCCUAUGGGACACCACUUGUGACCAGCCUCCACCCUGACACAGAACCAUUAAUCUCGACCCUUUGGCUUUGUCCAGCCAACCAAUUCUUAAUCCAUCGAACAGUCCAUCCUUCAAAUCCAUGCCUCUCCAAUUUAGAGAGAAGGAUGUGGUGAGGGACCAUGUCAAAAGCUUUGCAGAAGUCCAGGUAGAUGACGUCCGUUGCCCUUCCCCUGUCCACCAAUGCCGUCACCCCAUCGUAGAACACCACCAGACUGGGCAGGCAAGAUGAAGGUGAAGCCAUACUAGCUGUCUCAAAUGACCUCUUUGUCUCGUUUGUGCCUUAACAUUGCUUCUAGGAUUGCUCCUUGAUCUUCCCAGGCACAGAGGUGAGGCUCACCAGCUGGUAGUUCCCUGGGUCCUCCUUUCUCCCUUUCUUAAAAACAGGAGUAAAUGUUUCCCUUUAUCCAUUCACCAGGGACUUCACCAGACAGCCAUGAUUUUUCAAAUAUGAUAGAGAGCAGCUCAGCAACCACAUCAGCCAUCUCUUUCAGAACCCUAGGAUGGAUAUCAUCCAGCCCCAUGUAGUUAUAUAUAUUCAAAUUCAUGAGGAGGUCUUGGACUUGGUCCACUGUUACAGUGGGACAGAAACCACUCUCCAAACCCUCACCUAGAGACUCAGGGUCCUGGUAGACAUGGAAAGUCUAACCACCCGUGAAGGCUGUGGCAAAGCACUCACUGAGUACCUCAGCUUUUUCUAUGUCUGAGGAAGCCAGCUCCCCAUUACCUUUAAUCAGAGGGGGAAACGAAGGCCAUCCUUGGCCUGCCUCCUCCUGCCUAUGUACCAGUAGAACCCCUUCUUGUUAUCUUUCACAUCCCUCACCAAGUUCAGUUCCAUCUGUGCCUUGGCUUUCCUAAUCCUAUAUCUAUGCACACGGACAACAGUCCUGUAUUUGUCCCAGGCUACACAACCCUGCUUUCACUUCCUGUACAUUUCCCUCUUUUUCCUCAGUUUAAGCUGCAGGUCCUUGCACCUGCCUCCCCUGCUCAACUUCUUCUGGGGGAUGGAGAGCCAUUGUGCUCUCAGAAGGGUGUCCUUAAAGAGCUGCCAGCUCUGUUCUGUACCUUUAGCUAUGUACCCUUAAGGACAGUUUCUCAGGGUAUUCCACUCGGCAAUUCCUUGAGCAGCCGGAAGUUUGGUCUCCUGAGGCACAGGGUCCUGACUCCGCUUUUUGUCAGGCCCACAUUCUUCAAGAUCACAAACUCCACCAUGUCAUGGUCACUACAGCCCAGGCUGCCUUCAAU